rnacentral:rRNA from 1 species
UACGGGGGGGGCAAGCGUUGUUCGGAAUUACUGGGCGUAAAGGGCGCGUAGGCGGCCAUCUAAGUCAGACGUGAAAUCCCUCGGCUCAACCGAGGAACGUCGAUCGAUACUGCUGUUCUUGAGGAUUGCAGAGGAGACUGGAAUUCCCGGUGUAGCAGUGAAAUGCGUAGAUAUCAGGAGGAAUACCGAUGGCGAAGGCAGGUCUCUGGGCUGACACUGACGCUCAUGCACGAAAGCGUGGGGAGCAAACAGG